UACGUAGGGUGCGAGCGUUAAUCGGAAUUACUGGGCGUAAAGCGUGCGCAGGCGGUUAUGUAAGACAGGUGUGAAAUCCCCGGGCUUAACCUGGGAACUGCAUUUGUGACUGCAUAGCUAGAGUACGGUAGAGGGGGAUGGAAUUCCGCGUGUAGCAGUGAAAUGCGUAGAUAUGCGGAGGAACACCGAUGGCGAAGGCAAUCCCCUGGGCUGACACUGACGCUCAGGCACGAAAGCGUGGGGAGCAAACAGG
rnacentral:rRNA from 1 species